rnacentral:rRNA from 1 species
GAUGAAUGCUGGCUGCGUGCUUAACACAUGCAAGUCGAACGGUGAAGGAGGGCUUGCCCUCCGGAUCAGUGGCGAACGGGUGAGUAACACGUGGGCAACCUGCCCCUCACUCUGGGAUAACGCCGGGAAACCGGCGCUAAUACCGGAUACGACCAGGCGCGACAUCUCGCCUGGUGGAAAGAAUUUCGGUGAGGGAGGGGCCCGCGGCCUAUCAGCUAGUUGGUGGGGUAACGGCCCACCAAGGCGACGACGGGUAGCCGGCCUGAGAGGGCGAAAGUGCACACGGUGACAGAGACGGCGCAGAGCCUGCUACUGGGGGAAGCAGUGGGGAAUAUUGCGGAAUAGGCGAAGGACUGACGCAGCUACACAGCGUGAGGGACGAAGGCCUUCUGGUUGUAGACCUGUGUCAGCGUGGACGAAGCGAAAGUGACGGUAACCGCAGUAGAAGCACCGGCUAACUACGUGCCAGCCGCCGCGGUCACAC